CUGAGCUCCCGGAGCGGCCGCUGCCUGAGGGAGUCGGGGGCUGUGUGGUGUCCCCGCGCUGAGGCCGCAGCCGGAGAGUGAUUUAGUGAGCGGGAGGCGCGGCCUGCUCCUCAGAGCAGCGCGGGGCGGUGAUCCAGGUGUCUGUUGAGCUCCAAUACCAGCCCUGAGCCUUCAGUGCCUUGGCAGGCAGUCUGCAUGCUGGGGACAGAGUUCCAGUACUGUUUGAUGCUCUUUGGAACAGUGCCACUGGAGAAGCAGAUCCAUUACAACCUGUGGUGUGCAAAGUCUGGCUUUGGAGCUGGGGUAUACAGCGCAGACAACGUGUCAGUGAUUGGAGUAGUCUUCCUGCAUGUGGCAGCAGGACUCCACAGAUGCUAGACAGUGCUUCUUAGCUACAUCUUCCCUGCUACCUUCCACAGCAGUGGUGGGGCUGAGCUGCUGUGCGGCUUUAUCCUCAAGCAGUACAACAGCAACACCCAGGUGUCAGCAUCCCCACAUGUCAGACGCCACUGCCCUAACAAAGGCACUGCUGCCACGGGUGACAGUUGAUGUCAUCUCAAUGGAGCCCGUGUUCCUGCAUCCAGCCACUCAUGUUGGAGUUCGUGUACUUCUGUGAUCCUCGCUACUUCUCGCCUUUGGCCACAUCAUGCUUCAGGCUCUGGAACCUUUCAGAAAGGAACUAAAAAGCUGAAGCCAGAAGGAACUACAUGAAACCAUCAGCACAAUGAACUGCAUUGCUGUUGGUACAGCAGUGCUAGGAAGGUCCUGAUGGAAACAAUGAAACAAGGCACGGGACAGCAUUUCUUUCCAGCUUCCCCAUCCCCACAGGUAGGCACCCAAUAGUUACAGUCACUGAUUCAGAGCUGUGUCCAACAAGGUAAACCACUGGAGAGUGGUAUAACACAGGAACACUGAUAUUUACAGGUGUGCUCACCUCUCUGAAGAGGGGCCAGUUCACCUUUACAGCUAGAGACUGCCAACUAACACAGAUCCUCCAAGAAGCCUGUGUACCUGAGAUGACUUCUACCCAGCAAAACACCCCUUAGAGAUACUUACCCUACUGCUGUGAUCACACCCUUGGUAGGGUCACCUGACUGGUAAACAAACAGCAAACCAGCAUUUCCCAGCCGCUCCCUAAGGACUGACGCCUACCAGGACUGCCUAAUGCAGUUUUGAGAAAGACUCCAGAUGAUCUCUCCAGGCAGGGAGAGGUCAGAGGGCCAUCAGGCAGAACAGUGACUGCACACAAAGGUCACUUCAGCUAUGUGCAAGCCUUUAACAGAAGCUUGUCUCCAAAACAGUAAUUCUCUAGAGAUUGCGUAGCUGACCGUUAGCAAAGUUCUCCUUGACUAUAUGGAAGUAUUAAAAUGCAGACAAGAUCCUCAUCCUCUUAAAGGAGGAUGAUUCCUUUAAGUCUGCACGAUGUUUCACUGCACUGUCUGGUUUCACCUUCUUUAUAUUGGUCUCCUCCAAAUUCAGGCCAAGCUAAUAUCCUGUAAAUAGAUACCCUGCUAUACCCUUCCUCCCUUUUUUUUUUUUAAAACUCUAUUUUUCACAUGUUCAGACAGAACAAAGUACCUUCCAUAUCCAUUAGCUACUCCCUGUUCAGUUCUCAGAGGCCAAUGCUACAGGACAAGCUUCUGCCAACACAUCAUUGCUGAUCUAAAGGAUAAGAUUCCUAACCAACAUGCUGUACCAGGCAGAAACCACUCCACCAAGAAAAAUUUCCUUUUCUACUCCCAUAGGAUGUAGGAAAUCUCUAAUAUUAAAGGAAACACAGAUCUGUCCUGGUUAACAUAAUAGUAUGAGAUAAUAUUAAUAAAAGAGUGCGUUGGGCUAUCAAGGUCCAUGCUAUUUUUUUCCUCAAA